rnacentral:sRNA from 1 species
UCUUGGUCAUUUAGAGGAAGUAAAAGUCGUAACAAGGUCUCCGUUGGUGAACCAGCGGAGGGAUCAUUACAGAGUUUACAACUCCCAAACCCUUAUGUGAACAUACCAAUCGUUGCUUCGGCGAACCGCCCCGGCGUCCGGUCAGCCCCGUGCUGGCCGCGGCCCGGAUCCAGGUGGCCGCCGGAGACCCCCAAACUCUUGUUUAGUACAGUAUCUUCUGAAUCCGCCGCAAGGCAAAACAAAUGAAUCAAAACUUUCAACAACGGAUCUCUUGGUUCUGGCAUCGAUGAAGAACGCAGCGAAAUGCGAUAAGUAAUGUGAAUUGCAGAAUUCAGUGAAUCAUCGAAUCUUUGAACGCACAUUGCGCCCGCCAGCAUUCUGGCGGGCAUGCCUGUUCGAGCGUCAUUUCAACCCUCGACUUCCCCUUGGGGAAAUCGGCCGUUGGAGACGGCGAGCCCUGGUGCUCGCCCCUCCCAAAUUCAGUGGCGGCCCGUCCGCGGCGACCUCUGCGUAGUACUUCCACCUCGCACCGGAACCCCGACGCGGCCACGCCGUAAAACAACCCACUUCUGAACGUUGACCUCGGAUCAG